CAGCCGCCACGGUAAUACGAAGGGGGCUAGCGUUGUUCGGAAUUACUGGGCGUAAAGCGCACGUAGGCGGCUUGGUAAGUUAGAGGUGAAAGCCCGGAGCUCGACUCCGGAAUUGCCUUUAAGACUGCAUCGCUUGAAUCGUGGAGAGGUGAGUGGAAUUCCGAGUGUAGAGGUGAAAUUCGUAGAUAUUCGGAAGAACACCAGUGGCGAAGGCGGCUCACUGGACACGUAUUGACGCUGAGGUACGAAAGCAUGGGGAGCAAACAGGAUUAGAUACCCCUGUAGUCCCUGUCUCUUAUAC
rnacentral:rRNA from 1 species